UUUAUGUUCCCCUUUGAUCAUAAAGCUGCAUCAGCAGUAUUUCAAAGUCACAAAGUCAAAUUUAAUCUGAAACUUUGUUCAUUCACAAUCACAACAUCAAAGAUGUUUCAUGAUGAAAUACUGCAUACAGGUAGAUUAAUGAUGUUGAUGUUUGUACACAUAUACAUUGUAUCAUCACAUCGCUAUCCUCAUUAGCAUGUUUUGGGUGUAACUGAACAAAUAUAAGGAAGUGAAAAAAGGGAACAACUAACUAAGCAGUUUUCUUAUAAUCUGACAGACGGAGUGAAGUGUCAGACGCUGUUCUUCUGAAGUUUAACAACUUUUCUCUCAGGAUCAAAACCAAAAUGAAAAUCCUCCAUUUUCUCUUCUUUGUUUUCUUGUCAGAUGCAGCUGUGCUUGUCAAGGCAAAGCUCAAUAUUUGGUCUGCAGCUGAAGGAGGAAAUGCUUCACUUUACUGCCACUUAACUUUACCUGGAAGCACAAAGUUCUUCUGUAAGGAAAAAUGUGAGCGAGCAGAAGAUAUCCUCAUUAAAACAGAUGGAAGCACAGCUCAGAGUGGGAGAUACAGCAUUAAUUAUAAAGAUGGAUCUUCAGGUAAAGGAAUUGUGUCUGUGACCUUCACACACAUGAUCAAGUCUGACUCAGGACUGUACAGGUGUGGUUUGGGAAAAUCUUCUGCUCCGGAUUCAUACUAUGACUUUGAGGUCAGAGUUUCAAAUGAUCUGGAUAAAAACUCUGGUUUUACUCGCACAGAAACUGAGGGAGAAGCAGUCACAUUGGGAUGUUCCAAUACUGUGUAUGGACAGAGGAAGUUCUUUUGUAAGAAUCAGUGUAAGAAUGAAGGGGAGAUCCUCAUUGACACAAGCAAUAACAAAGCUGUGAGUGGCAGAUACAGCAUUGAAUACACAGCAGGAUCUACAUUUGGACUGUAUGUGACCAUCACACAGCUGACCAAGUCAGACACAGGAGCCUACAGGUGUGGUUAUGGAAACCCUCUGUCUCCAGAUUCAUACUACAGUGGCAGUCUUGUUGUCAUUGGUUCAAAUCCACCUACUUCGACAUCACAAGCAACAACUAAAACAACACAAACACCACCAACAACAACAGCACAGAGUCAGAGUUUCACUCCAAGGAUUUCUACGUCUUCAUCAGAUUGUCCUGACUCCUCCUUGGGUCUGGCUGUGUGUGUGUCUCUGAUUGGUGUUUUACUGAUGGCUGUUUUCAUCCUGCUCCUCUACAUUUAUAAGACAAGGAGGAACACUGCACCGAACACCAGAGAAAAUGCAGGCAACAAAAACAUGGAGUUAUCUGGCACAUAUGAGAACUGGGGUCCACCCUCCAAACAUAAAGGCAGUAAGGACCAGGAUCACGUCUACUCUGCAUUGUAAAAGGCACAAGUCUGAAAAUGCUAAAAUGCUAAUGUUCUGAUGCUUUUUUUUUCUCUUUGGGCAAGUUUAAGAUCUUAUAUAAAUUGCUUCACACACAUAUAAACAUAUAUAUGAAUUGAGCUUAUUUUUUACAGUUACUUUCUUUCUAGGUAUUCUUGACUUCUUUCUUUAUCCAUAAGUUUGACUGAAUGAAACAUUCAUGUACCACAUUUAAUAAUAAUGCAAAGUCUGCAAGUGUACUAAGAUUUGUUAUUGCUGGAGAUCAGGAAGAGUUUCUUAUGUUUCCCAUUUUUAUUGACAUAUUUAGCAUUUCACAUAUAUUUAGCAUGGUAGCAAAAAAGCUUCAGUAUGCAACCUUAGCUUUGUAACACUGAGAACAUGCUUAUUACGCUGCAUUAUAAACAAUUGAAAGAGAUCAGUGGAAACAUGUUUUAUUGGCAGAAACAGAAAACCAGAAGCUUUUUUCUAACAUGCAAUAAAUUGUUCAAAAGUUUGCACAAAAGAACACAAGAGGAAUAUCGUCUGGACAUCACAGAUUUGGUACAGCAGCGCUCUGUGGAACUGUAGAUAGUAUUAUAUUGCUAACAGGCCCCUGUGUAACUGCAGGAGCAAAUAAUUCUAACAAAAACAGCAUUACAGGAAAAGGUGCAGAAGUAGCAUUACAUGAGAGAGUGCAAAAGUGGAACACUAACCCGCCAUCUAACACAUCUUGAUAAGUAUAGAUCAAAAAGGAGAACUAGGAAGAGAGCUUGACGCGCUUAGACACCCCACAAACUCACACUCAUAGAAAAUGAGGCAAUGGCAGAGAAACAGAGACAGAGUGGAUGUGCAGAACCAUAAAAGGAGAGAUGAAUUGAUGUGUAAGACCAUAAAAGGAAAAGAUAAGAAUUUCAAAGGACAAGGGAGAUGUUUUGUUUGAAACUGAAUGAAUGGUGCAUGAACGCAGAGUACUGAAUGAGGAACUACAAAGAAGUAUAAAUGUAACAAACUGAGGGAGCGCCCCUCGGAUCAGCAGGAGGCUUUUGCGCUGUGCACAUCCCCCGUGUACAUGGAAGAUUAAAGAAGCUGCUGAACUGAAAAGUCUGUCUUGAGUCUUGUGUUUUGUUUUUUUUACCAGGUCAGAAUCCAAGUAUCGGGGUGACAGCUGGUCGCCAACAGGUCCCCAAGUCGUUUGGUACCGGGCUGCGAGAGUUGAGGCUCGGGUGUGGAAUUUAUGGUUUUCAGGGUUUUUAUCGUUAACUCGGUUUCUCUGGGUCUUUUCCCAUGUUGUAGUUGUGUCUUAUUUUGAAAGAAAUAUUUACACAUUACCAGUGGCGGUCCUAGCCUGUUUGGCACCCUGGGCGAACACUCCUCCCCCCCCCCCCCCCCCCCCCCACACACACACACACACACGAAACGUAUUAAGGAUUGUACAUUAACAUAAAACUGUUGUCGGAACCAUACUGAAUUUCACCAGAGAAAAAUGCGCACACACACACGGAUAUGAAGAGAGAGUAUGCAUAGUAUGCAAACGGCCACCAAACAGCCAUCAUAAUGUGUCAUACAAUGAGAACAGAACAAAUCAACAAUUGACACUGACUAAUCAAUAUUAAAAUCUGUAACAUAGUGUAUUGUUUGGAGUUUAGUCUGUUACUGUUACUGUUUUUAACAUGUCUUCUUGGAGCAAGUGUAACCCACAUAAUUGUGUGGAUGCUGGCGGCAGCUGUUCUAAGACUGGGAGGCCCGGGUUCAAAUCCCACUUAUGGCAACAUUUCUUUCAUUUAACAGUUAAACUUUUUUUUAACUCUUUUCAACACAAAUUUCAGCUUUUUCAGCUGUUUUUAGCAAAAACCUCUUUUCAGCAGAAAUUCUGCUGAUUGAACUCUUUUCAGCAGAAUUUUCACCUCUUUUCAGCCCAAAUUCUGCUUAUUCACCUCUUCUGCAAAAUUUUCAGCCUUUUCACCUCUUAUUAGCACAAAUCUCAGCUGUUUUCAGGAAAAACUCUUUUCAGCAGAAAUUCUGCUGAUUCACC
ensembl:lncRNA